AAGGGUCCGUAGGCGGUUUGGUAAGUCAGUGGUGAAAGCCCAUCGCUUAACGAUGGAACGGCCAUUGAUACUGCCAGACUUGAAUUACUAGGAAGUAACUAGAAUAUGUAGUGUAGCGGUGAAAUGCUUAGAUAUUACAUGGAAUACCAAUUGCGAAGGCAGGUUACUACUAGUGGAUUGACGCUGAUGGACGAAAGCGUGGGGGAGCGAACAGGAUUAGAUACCCCAGU
rnacentral:rRNA from 1 species